rnacentral:rRNA from 1 species
CAUUUUUCAUCCUACGGGAGGCAGCAUGGGGAAUAUUGCACAAUGGGCGCAAGCCUGAUGCAGCCAUGCGCGUGUAUGAAGAAGGCCUUCGGGUUGUAAAGUACUUUCAGCAGUGAGGAAGGCAGGUACGUUAAUAGCGUACUUGUUUUGACGUUAGCUGCAGAAGAAGCACCGGCUAACUCCGUGCCAGCAGCCGCGGUAAUACGGAGGGUGCGAGCGUUAAUCGGAAUUACUGGGCGUAAAGCGCAUGCAGGUGGUUUGUUAAGUCAGAUGUGAAAGCCCGGGGCUCAACCUCGGAAUUGCAUUUGAAACUGGCAGACUAGAGUACUGUAGAGGGGGUAGAAUUUCAGGUGUAGCGGUGAAAAUGCGUAGAGAUCUGAAGGAAUACCGGUGGCGAAGGCGGCCCCCUGGACAGAUACUGACACUCAGAUGCGAAAGCGUGGGGAGCAAACAGGAUUAGAUACCCUGGUAG